rnacentral:rRNA from 1 species
UAUGCUUAGCCUUAAACCUAAAUAAUUUUAUAACAAAAUUAUUCGCCAGAGAACUACAAGCCAGAGCUUAAAACUCAAAGGACUUGGCGGUGCUUUAUACCCGCCUAGAGGAGCCUGUUCUAUAAUCGAUAAACCCCGAUAAACCUUACCACUCUUUGCCAACUCAGCCUAUAUACCGCCAUCUUCAGCAAACCCUAAAAAGGGGCAAAAGUAAGCUCAAUCAUCACCAUAAAAACGUUAGGUCAAGGUGUAGCCUAUAGAGUGGAAAUCAAUGGGCUACAUUUUCUACUUUAGAACACACGAAAGCCCCUAUGAAACUCUAGAGACCAAAGGAGGAUUUAGCAGUAAAUUAAGAAUAGAGUGCUUAAUUGAACAAGGCCAUGAAGCACGC